rnacentral:lncRNA from 1 species
GAGCUUGUUACAGGGCAUGAAAAGACACAGGGAGUGAUACUCAGGUCACAGGGAAGUUGCUUGAAGACGAGGGAGCUGUAUCUCCAAGGAAACACUCCAAAUGAGUUGCUGUGGGCCACCGUGGGCGUGGGUUUACUGUAGCUUAUGGAAAUAACCCACAGCACCCACUGAGAUGUGUGUAUAGAUUGCAGUCAGGAAAUGGAGGGAAUCCUGCAUUAAGCCGAAACGGUGGGAUUUAAAAAUGCCUAAGAGCGACUCUCUGGGUGGAAUCUGGUCAGAGCACCCAUCAGCUUUCCCUCUCAUCAGCAGUUGGGAGAAAAAUUACAUACUUUGGAUAUCCAAACCCGAAUCCAGGGUGUUCAGCCCUUCAGCUAUCUACCUUUCUGUAAUUAACCCUAUUUGUCACCAAUCCUCAUACUACAUGCUGUGAGGGCCAGCCAGUGCAGACCCUAACAUCUCCUAUAAACGAAACAUUCAGUCCUUUCCCCACCAACCCUAUUUGUUCUACUUUCAGUCUUUAUAUAACUCCCAACUCAUCUUUUCCUGUGACCUCAUCGACUGGUCCUUGUCACAUCAGACCAUCACCAGUUAUCCGUCAACUCCGUGCUCACUCUGACUGUGUAUUGACUUGGACCUGGCACCGGACUUGGUUCUGAGGAUACAUAGUUCAUGUUUUCCUUUCUGGAGAACUCACUGAAGAGAGAAACCUUGGCAGCCGUGAUGGUUUUCCCACCGUGGACUGCGUCGAAUAGGUAGAUGCCCAAUUCAUACUCGUUUCUGUGCCUUCAGUAAACUGCCUUCAAUCUUUCUCAACUUUUCCUCCUUCUCUGUCCCAUCAUGGGAUGCCAGGAACACUUGAAUGCCUUCGGAGACUUCAGUGGCCUUUCCCACCUUUGAAGACAGAAGGGAUGGAACCAGAAGCAGUAGGGUUAUUUCCUAACAUUUGUUGAGAUAAUUACAGGACAAUGCCUGAAUUUCCCAACCAGGGCAACAUCACUGGGGAGAGUACCUACCUUCUGAGUGUCUUUUGAAGCACAA